AUUAAUUUCAGCUGUCUUUAAUCUGAAAUUAAAUCUGAAAUUAAAUCUGAAAGAAAUUCUGAAACAAUCAACAAAUGCGAAGUUUAAAAUGGUAUCAAAGCUCAAAAAACCAAAGCUCAAAGAUUGAGUCCUAAAAGAUACAUUAAUAUCGAUUUAACAAUGAAUCAUAUUUCUCUUAUUUUCAAGUCAACAUGUGAAUGUUAUUUUGUUUUUAAUUCUUUCUUUGUUUUUAUGUUUAGUUUUAAUCAUUUUCGGUCCACAAUUUAAUGGCAAUCAACUAACAGGAUAAAAAUGACCGACUUGGUGAUUGAUAAAAUGGUUGAACAAUACAAUAAGGUGCUCUUCAACGUCCAAUCUUGCCUGACCCGAUUCAUUCACAUUUGACAGUCAACACUUGUUUAACCACUGGUUCACUGAUGACCAACUACUCGCUAUCGUCAUCCAUGUUUGGUCAACAUUUUGCAAUCCCAAAGUCUGUGCUGAUAACAAUGGCUAGAUGUUUAACUUGAUCAACUAAUGGCAAUCACAAGUGUCCAAGUGCAGUCUUGAAACAACCAUCGAUUGUUCAGCAACAUCUAUUAUUAAUAGAUCAAUAAACUUUUCUGGUUCAACAUUACCUUUUCUUAUGAUGCUUCAAUUGAUUGUAACUACACCAGGUUAACAAAACAUCACAUUGUCUAUUUAUACCUUGUUAUAUCCAGUUAGCCCAAACCAAUUUCAAUUUAUACUCAAUUAUUAAUUCAUUGUUUAACUCAUCACCAUCAUCAUCUUACCCAUUCUGAUCACACAUUGAUCACCAAUUUAUUCAUUCAUUGACUCCUUGUGAUACCUUUUUUACUUCAUCUUUCAUUGGACUCUGUCUAUAUUACAGCGAAAGUGAAAGUAUAAUUCUGGUUCCUUUAUUUCCCUGGUUUUCUUCAAUUUCAUGAUAAAACUGUAACAUCAACAGAAUAGCUGAGUUUUUGUUCAUUCUCAUCUUCAUCUUCGUCAAUCGAUAUUUAUACAUUUGGUAAGAAACACACACAAACUCCUUUCUUUACCAUCAUCACUUUUCAUCCUUUUAUCCUCUAUUUUUUACCUCAUCAUCAACUACACCAACAAAUCCUCAUUCCUUAUCAAAACAAUAUCCUAAUGAUAUUAAUUAAUGUUUUUCAAUAAUAAUUAGCUUUCUCUGUUUUUUCAUUUCAAGCACUACAUUAGAUUUACCACUUUACCCAUUCAAACCCAACUCAAUAAUUCAAUGUUAAUGCGAUAAUUUCAUUACUGAUGAGUAGCUUAUUACAUUAAUAUUAUUUAUAACGAUUGGUAAAGAGAAGAAAAAUUAUCCUUUUUUCAUUCCAAUUGUCUUAAAUGGUCAGAUAAUCACCAUUGACCAGAUCAAGUUAAAUAGUCAACAUAAGAAACAGACAAUUGGCUGAUUUAAUAAAUGCUCAACUCAACGACCGCAAAUGCUCAAAACAAAUCAAUAACAAUCAGGACUUUCAUUUUGAGUCUGCAAUUCACACAUUUUCAAAAUUCAGUAACUUGGCUAAAUGAGUCAUUUUUGCCCAUUUCAACCAAUCUUGCGAGUCCUUCGUCUAUUUAACCUGUCCAAAGGUAAUUCUUGCCUUUUCACUUGCUCAUCCAUUCAUCAUUUCCAUCAUCAUCAUCCUUAAGAAAAACUAGUUUUCUCUCUCUUCUCUCCCUCUUCAUCUUCCAGUUACUGUAACUUGGAAGCUGUUCAAUUGAAUUUUAACUUGCGCUCAACCAACAUCAACAUUUACAUCUGUUUACUUCUCAUAGCUUUUGUGAAACCUUUUCCCUUUGAUAAUACAAUUAAAUUUUUGCUCUACUUUUGUUCACAGUGACAUUAAACAAAACCAUUAACAGCGUGUAAAUGACACUUUUUACAAUUAAAAGCUCCCAUGAAUAGCAAUUAAAUAUUCAACCAACAACAAAAGUAUCAACAGUCUCAAAAAUGAACAUCAAACCCAAUUUUCAAGCUUAAACGGAUUAUUUCAAGUGAUUAAGACUACUUAUAUGUAUUCAAGUGCCUACUUAAUUAAUUGAUUGUGAAUAGUCAACAUUAAAACAACAAGAAAAAUCCAAAAAUGGAUGAAACAAAUGAACAUGAAUCAAGACAAAGUGAACCUGAAUCAACGGUAAAUGUUGAUUAUCCAAGUGAUACCGUUAAUCCUAUCCAAGAUGAUAUUAAUAAUGAUACUAAAUUGUCUUCAAAUGUCCCUUUACUAUCAUCACAAUCAUCAUCAACAAACCAGACUCGGAAUGAAACAUCAAAUGUUGGUUACAAUGUUGAAUGUUCACCAACAACUGAUAACCAAGAGUCAAUUAAAUUAGCCAAUUCAAGCAAUUUAAAUGAGAAACAACCAGAAAUGGAUUGUCUACUUGAAAAGCUUCGCAAAGGAAUGUCCUUUAACCCUGCGGACAAAUACCUUGAAUAAUGUAAAUCAAAUGAUAUAUCUUGGCCAUUUACUUGCUCUUUAACCAACAUAAAAUUUAAAAGCAAACCCAAGAAAAAAAGCCAACAUUUUCAACGUUAUUUUACAACGAUUUUUGGUCCAUUUGUCUCUUCUUACCUUAUGUUGCUGAUGACCUUUUUUUACCUGGCAAAGGUUAUCAUCCUCUUAUUAUUGUUAAACAGUCUUUUCAAUAUUCAAUUUUCCAGGUCAACAUUUAUUGUAUUGUAAACUGUCAAUUUUGACAAAUUUUUUCAUUAUUUUCCUUUUCUCUCUCCUCAAAACUGAACAAUUAACACUUGAUAUUUAUUUUCAAAUGGUUGUCCUAAUCGAGGAAAAGGUCAUUUACAAAACAUGUUCACAUUCCUGACCAUUUGCUUAUUCAAGUAGUCAAUCAAUAUUAACAUGUUUAACACUCUUAAUAUGGUUAAAAUGAUUUACAUUUUUCAUCUUAAAUUCAUAUUUCAAUUUUACCCUUCCAACAUUGAUAUUUAUUAGCUUGCUUUAAUAAUACGAUUAAUUUUGCUUUUUUCAUAUCAAAGUCUUUUGAUUUAUUUUUGAUUACAGUCUCAACCUUUCCUGGUGUCUUUGUUGAUGUAUAAUCUGUUCAUGUUUUCAUGAAAUACAUUUAAUUUCAAUCAUCUAACACUAAUCAAUACAUGUUUCUGUAAAGAUGUAAAUACUUUGAUCAUUACCUUUUCAAGGGAAAAACAUUUCUUCAAAUUGAAAAUAACAUUAUCAUUCCAGUUUCAUCUUUUUAAUCACCAUUCUUCAUCCUCAUCACUCAGACCCUUGAAUCAUUACAUCCUAUUGAAGCAUUUUAAAACUCUUGCACUUUAUCCUUGAAAAUAUUUAUUCAAAUAAUUCACCUUUCAUGAUGAACUGAAUUUUGAUGAAACCAUGAAAACCAUCAAUUUCUGCACAAUGUUAAAAUUACAUUGAAGCAACUUAAACAAUUGAGUUUUGAUUUGGUUUGUUUUUAAAUGUUACAAUUAUAUUUUCACUGGAAAUGUAAUUCUAAUUUCCAUAAUAAUUGAUUAGCUUUUAACAGCAAUUUUGUUAAUCAUCUUGAUUCACUUUUCUCUUUCUCUGAUUAAUGGUUAUAAAAUCAAUUUAGUCUUGUUUACAUCUGCUCAGUAAAAUUGCAUGAUUAUGAUUAACAUUUGCAAUUCAUCAAUGAUUUCAG